GAUGAACGCUGGCGGCGUGCUUAACACAUGCAAGUCGAACGAAGCGCUUAAGCUGAUUUCUUCGGAUUGAUUCUUGAGUGACUGAGUGGCGGACGGGUGAGUAACGCGUAGGUAACCUGCCUACUAGCGGGGGAUAACUAUUGGAAACGAUAGCUAAUACCGCAUAACAGUGUUUAACACAUGUUAGAUGCUUGAAAGAUGCAAUUGCAUCACUAGUAGAUGGACCUGCGUUGUAUUAGCUAGUUGGUGGGGUAACGGCCCACCAAGGCGACGAUACAUAGCCGACCUGAGAGGGUGAUCGGCCACACUGGGACUGAGACACGGCCCAG
rnacentral:rRNA from 1 species